rnacentral:lncRNA from 1 species
CAGGUUUGCAGGUACGGGAUAGAUAGAGAAGGCAAGACGAGAAAAAGUCAUAUGUAUGUAAUAGUUAGUUUGUGGACAUGACAAUUGUAUUAUGAUGAAAUGUAAAAAUAUUCAGGAUGUUAUGUAAUGAGGUUAUUGAGGAUAGAGUUGUGCUUGACCAUAAUGUAUUGUUAAUCCCUUUUGUAUAUACAUGAUCUUAUGUUAUGAUGUUUAUGUAAACUAACUCAACACAGGUUGUUUUGCUUUAAGGCUUG